UACGGAGGAUGCGAGCGUUAUCCGGAUUUAUUGGGUUUAAAGGGUGCGUAGGCGGAUUUAUAAGUCAGCGGUGAAAUUCUGUCGCUUAACGAUAGCAUUGCCAUUGAUACUGUAGAUCUUGAGUAUAUUUGAGGUGGGCGGAAUGUGUAGUGUAGCGGUGAAAUGCUUAGAUAUUACACAGAACACCAAUUGCGAAGGCAGCUCACUAAACUAUAACUGACGCUGAGGCACGAAAGCGUGGGGAU
rnacentral:rRNA from 1 species